rnacentral:lncRNA from 1 species
UAGCAUAAAUAAAUAUUGAGUUAAUUUUUGAAAGAUUAAAAGGUUGAAUACAUAAUUAUUAAUGGUUAUUAGACUUUUAAUUCAAUAAGUUACAUAAUCCAAGCACACAUUUGUCUUAAAAAUAAACCAAUGUAAUUACAGUAAAAUUUGUCUUCCUAAUUCUAAAUGACCAAGACCAAAAUCAUGGACGGGAUAAACACUCCUUUGGACCUAGGGGCAAAAACAUGCUGUCUUGAAGCUUGGAGCAGCCACUUUUCCAUUCCAUCAUGUCAUCUCAGAGCUAUAAUCUGCAGAGAAAAAUAGCUUAUUUAAAAAAGCACUUUUUAAAAGCACUUAAAAAACUAAAGAAUAACUAAACAAAUUACUCAGUUUGAAACUUUACCCAACAGGUUAACUUGAACAUCCAAAAAGGCAUUGCAAUAAUAACUCAAAACAGAACAAAUCCACAGAAAUUAAAUCCCACACAAUCUGGGAUGGGAAAAUCGAAAAAAGAGAGGAGUUCUUAAAAAACUGAUAAAAAUUCUUCAUAAAAGGUUCAUGAGGCGUUAAGAACAACACAACACAGUAAGAAAUUAUUUUCUAAAAAAAAAAAAACCAAAACAACAACAGCAACAACACAGAGAUUUUUUCUAAAACCCUAAAGAACAACAACAGCAAGAACAAAUCAAUUUUUUCUAAGAGCCCUAAAAAGUUAACAGCAAGAGGAUACACAACAAAGAUAUUUUUCUCAAAACCCUAAACCAGUACACAACAGAAAACGCACAGCAAGAACAACAACAGAGAGCAAUAUUUUUAAAAAGCCCUAAAAAAAAGAGUUCACAGGAAGAACACACACAUCGAGAUCCAGAGUAAUCAUACGUUACCAAGGGUAAAGAAGAGGAGCGGACGACGCAAGCGCGAAUCCUCUCGUUACCGGAUUCGAAGCCUCCGAUUUAAAAUUUGGUACUUCUCGUCCAUCGAUUCCGGUAGAGCAGCGAAUCCGUAGGUAAGCACAUCUUCAUCGUUUUCGCUCUGAUUUUAUUACGGUUGCAUAGGAGGCUGGUUCGGUUUAUCUUGUGUAGGGAGCUCGAUCGGUCACGGGAGAGGGAGAGAGUAAAGCGACGGAGAAGAGCGGAGGCUCCGCCGUGAGCCGCCGCCUCCGGUCGUCUUCUCCAAGAGAGAAGUUUCUAGGGUUUGCUGAGUUUUGGAGCGGCUAAAAAUUGAAGAGAGAGAAAAGCUAUUGAGAAAGCAACAAUUCUUUUUUCUUUUUUUGAUUUAAGUUGGCUAAGGUGGGUUUGUUUCGGGCCUUCCAGAUUUGGCCCAUUACUUCACUAUCCGUACCCCCAUAUGAUUGGGUUGUCCCUUUUAG